GGUGGCGGAACGCUCCGGCAGCUAGUGUUGAGUGAGACGUGGAGGAAGGUGUUCUAUACCGUCCCUCGUGGUGGCUUCAGCGCCGCUCCACUGCCAAGAGACUCAUUUAUGAGGAUACUUAACCUGUGAGGUGACCCGCUUGUGGUGCAAGGCUGCCGGGGCCUUCUAUGUGUCGUUUUGUGCAAUUUGGGUGUUUUCGGUUAGUGUAAGCGGGUGUGUCUCUGACCCGCAGCCCAGCGAACGCCCACGCGCCCACCUCCAGCACACCCGAUCCUCAGAGACCUUAUAACGUUUGAGGCUUAAAAGCACUUAGGUAAGCGGGCAUAGCAUUGCAGAGGGAAAGAAGGUAUCCAUUACACGAGGGUUAGUCGGAGUUGGGGGAAGUGGCUGUCAAGAACUACAUUUACAGCUGAUCUGUUAUUGUUGUAAGUAAGACUUGGAUGUACUCGUAAUCACAAUAGCACUGUAACGCGAAAGGAAAGGAAAAGAUAGUCACAUUAGAAAAAAGAAGCAGUAUACAGAAGUUCUUAUUCAUGCAGGAACACCAAAAAGGGAUACUCUUUAUGGAUUUUGUUUUUCUCACAGAUCCUUCGAGUAAGAAUGAGUUCUAGUUCCUGGAUUUACCACUUUACCGGAUUAGAUAAUUUAAUUAAGGACUUUUUUAUGUGCUUUCGCUAUUUUUAAAACCGUUUUCUCUGUAUUUCGAUUAUAUGUUAUGAAGUAAGCAUGUGUUUAGGUUAUUGAUGCACAUACUUCAGAUAAUACAUUUCGAGAGUUGUUUAUAUUUUUUUGUAUUUUAUGGUUUUGUCGACUGGAAGAAUUGAAACUGGAUUGAGAGAGCAUACAAUCUUCUUUGCCUUUCACUUUUUAUUAGUCAACAGAUGUCCGUUUCCUUUACACCUCUCGGCUAACUCCUCUGGCCAUGGACAGUUGGACAUCUAUGAGCGACUCUCAUCGUAUUGUAUCUAAAAAAUAUAGUCUCGCGUCUCUCCGGUUAUGGCCGCCGGAAUUGCGACAGCGGAACUGUAAAGGGGGAAGGGGGGAGGGAGAGGAAAGAUAAAGGGGUCAGGAGGGCACAAGAUAAAAAAACUGCCAUACGACUUAUUUUCGUAACACAUCCGUUACAUUUCCGGUUGCAUCCGGGGCUGAAUGAUCGUAUAUCAGUCAUGCAAUCAUUUUAUUGAUUUAUUAAAAUGCUGCUUCUAGCGUGUUGACCUCUUAUUGCAUUACUUUAGCUGCGGUUAGAGUUAUUAGCGACCUAUUUUUCGGUCGUUUGCUUGAGCCAUUUACCUGAGUGUGGGACGGUGACCACAAUGUAGCGCCCGAGGUCGGACGUGUCACUGGGGCUCAUAUUUAUAGCAUUAUUUCUUCUCCAUUUUUAGACUAUGCAUUUUAUACAAGUUUUAUCCACGUAGACAAAAAAAAAGUUGUUUGACCUCUUCGCAAAGCCCGCGGGAACCAGAUCAUCGCGCGUAACGUGAUGCCGUCGGACUUUAUCUCGGAGCUGAGGUCCCUCCCCUCGCCCCACAAGUAUCCAGGCCGGACCGGAAUCAUAAUUUGAAUAACGUUUGCAGGCACCGGAUUAGUUAUGCGCACCUCAUGUAUGUCAUGUAUAUUGUAGUUGGUAUUUUUUUAUUACUAGAGAAAAGCAAGAGAAAGAGAGAUAUAGGAGCGAGGCUGUGUCAGAGAGAUGUACCUGCUGAGGCGUAUAAGUAACUGAAUACUAUCUUUCCUCUAUCCCUAACUCCCCUGAUUCUCCCUUCUUCGUGACUCCUUACAUGUUCUCUAUUCCCCCUCUGACUCAUCGAUCCUUCCCGUCCCUUUCCCUUGUCCUGACCCACCUCUCCCUUAUCCAGCCCCCUUCAUUUAGUCUAGAUACUCCUGGACUCCCUUGCGUAUCCCUUCAAAAUAAUAAAAAAAACAAGAAAAAAUAAUAUACGCUCACGCACGCACGCACGCGACACACACACACACACACACACACACACACACACACACACACACACACACACAUAUAUAUAUAUAUAUAUCGGAAGCUCGAUAAUCCCCCAGUCUCCCUGAUUUUAUGUAUUUUUUGUACCUCACUGUA
rnacentral:lncRNA from 1 species